GACGAACGCUGGCGGCGUGCUUAACACAUGCAAGUCGAACGGACAGGCCCUGCUUUUGCGGGGUGCUCGAGUGGCGCACGGGUGAGUAACACGUGUGUAACCUGCCCUUGACUUUGGGAUAUCUUCAGGAAACUCGGGCUCAUACCGGAUAGGAGCUCCUGCUGCAUGGUGGGGGUUGGAAAGUUUCGGCGGUUGGGGAUGGACUCGCGGGUUAUCAGCUUGUUGGUGGGGUAGUGGCUUACCAAGGCUUUGACGGGUAGCCCGCCUGAGAGGGGGACCGGCCACCAUGGGACUGAGGUACGGCCCAGUAGCCAACGGGAGGCAAUGGGGGGGAAUAUUGCACAAUGGGGCGGAGCCUGAGGCGGCGACGCCGGGAGCGGGAAGACGGGCUUCGGGGGGUGAACCGCUUUCGCCGGAGACGAAGCGGGAGUGACGGUAAUGGGUAAGAAAGCAACGGCUAACUACGUG
rnacentral:rRNA from 1 species